ensembl:lncRNA
GGAGAAACUAACUGUGGCAGCACCUUGAUCUGGGACCUCCAACCUCUAGGACUGUGGUAAAAAUAACUUGUUUAAGCCACCCAGUCUGUAGUGGUCCGUUAGGGAGCCCGAGCUGAUCAUCAUGCUUCAGUACUCUUGUUCCCUCAAGAGUAGUACUCUCUAAUUCCAAUUUCUUAGAGCAUAAUGACAGUUUGCCCAUCUUAGGUCUUCCUGCCUAUGACUAAAUUCUGAGUAUUUGGAAGAGCAGCCUAAAACCACAGCACAAAUACAAGGUUUUCUUACUCUAUUUGAGACAAAGUACACCCAGAAAACUAAAUAACCUUUUAGGAACAAGAAUCAUAAAGUACUGAAACUGCCUGCUUGUGAUAGGUUGAUACUGUAGCAAUCAAAGACCUCACCUAUAUUCACUAAGGGUCAUACCACAGGCCGUAUGAAUUCAUCCAAAUAGCAACACACUUGGAAAUUCACUUUGUGCCACAGCCUAAGCCAGAAAAAAAAGAAAGAAAAAAGAAGAAGAAAGAGAGGAAGAAGGAGGAAGGGGAGGAGAAGAGGAAGGGAGAACGAAGUAGCAGGUCAGCAGGCUCCAGUAGCUCAUCAAAUGGAUUUAGCUGUAGCAAGGACACUGUGG